UACGUAGGGUGCAAGCGUUGUCCGGAAUUAUUGGGCGUAAAGAGCUCGUAGGCGGCUUGUCGCGUCUGCUGUGAAAACUCAGGGCUUAACCCUGAGCCUGCAGUGGGUACGGGCAGACUAGAGUGUGGUAGGGGAGAUCGGAAUUCCUGGUGUAGCGGUGGAAUGCGCAGAUAUCAGGAGGAACACCGGUGGCGAAGGCGGAUCUCUGGGCCAUAACUGACGCUGAGGAGCGAAAGCAUGGGGAGCGAACAGG
rnacentral:rRNA from 1 species